GAGUUUGAUCCUGGCUCAGGAUGAACGCUGGCGGCGUGCUUAACACGUGCAAGUCGAACGGGAAACCAUUUAUUGAAGCUUCGGCAGAUUUAGCUGGUUUCUAGUGGCGGACGGGUGAGUAACGCGUGGGUAACCUGCCUUAUACAGGGGGAUAACAGUCAGAAAUGACUGCUAAUACCGCAUAAGCGCACAGGACCGCAUGGUCUGGUGUGAAAAACUCCGGUGGUAUAAGAUGGACCCGCGUUGGAUUAGCUUGUUGGUGAGGUAACGGCUCACCAAGGCGACGAUCCAUAGCCGGCCUGAGAGGGUGAACGGCCACAUUGGGACUGAGACACGGCCCAGACUCCUACGGGAGGCAGCAGUGGGGAAUAUUGCACAAUGGGGGAAACCCUGAUGCAGCGACGCCGCGUGAAGGAAGAAGUAUCUCGGUAUGUAAACUUCUUUUAUAGGGGAAUAAAGUGGAGGACGUGUCCUUUUUUGUAUGUACCCUAUGAAUAAGCAUCGGCUAACUCCGUGCCAGCCGCCGCGGUAAUUC
rnacentral:rRNA from 1 species